rnacentral:tmRNA from 1 species
GGGGGCGACAGGCUUCGACAGGGGUUUCUGGCGACCGACGGAUGUCAUGCCGGGCUUCUCUAAGCAGCUCGUUAAAAAGCCUAGGGAAAAAACAAUUGCCAACUCUAACGAGUUAGCUCUCGCAGCCUAAUAAGCUAGCGAGCGUCUCCGCCGCAAGUUGCUCAUGCGCGCGGAUGGAGAUGUCACCUUAGAUGAGCUGGCGCGAACCUUCGGUCCGUGGGUUCGCGCGAGAUAAAGUCGGACUAGCUGGCACCGAGGUCUUGUCGCUUCACUGACUCGGCGCUCAGCGAAAAUCCGGUCGCUUGACAACAGUUGAGCGGGCGGGAAAGAGAAGCGAAUAAGCAUGUAGAGUCUUUCGGCGACAGCUCUUGGAUCCGAGUUCAAUUCUCGGCGCCUCCACCA